AUUGAACGCUGGCGGCAGGCCUAACACAUGCAAGUCGAGCGAGCGGCGGACGGGUGAGUAAUGUCUGGGAAACUGCCUGAUGGAGGGGGAUAACUACUGGAAACGGUAGCUAAUACCGCAUACCAUCAGAUGUGCCCAGAUGGGAUUAGCUAGUAGGUGGGGUAACUGCUCACCUAGGCGACGAUCCCUAGCUGGUCUGAGAGGAUGACCAGCCACACUGGAACUGAGACACGGUCCAGACUCCUACGGGAGGAAGCAGUGGGGAAUAUUGGACAAUGGGCGCAAGCCGGAUGAAGCAAUGCCGCGUGUGUGAGGAAGGCCUUCGGGUUGUAAAGCACUUUCAGCGGGGAGGCGUUACCCGCAGAGGAAGCAACGGCUAACUCCGUGCCAGCAGCCGCGGUAAUUC
rnacentral:rRNA from 1 species